GAUCCUGGCUUAGGAUGAACGCUAGCUACAGGCUUAACACAUGCAAGUCGAGGGCAGCAUGGGAGUUGCUUGCAAUCCUGAUGGCGACCGGCGCACGGUGAGUAACGCGUAUCCAACCUCCCCUCAGUAGGGCAUAGCCCGUAGAAAUGCGGAUUAAUACCCUAUGCGGUCCGAUGAGGACAUCUGAGCUGGACGAAAGGUUUACCGCUGAGGGAUGGGGAUGCGUCUGAUUAGGUAGUCGGCGGGGUAACGGCCCACCGAGCCAUCGAUCAGUAGGGGUUCUGAGAGGAAGGUCCCCCACACUGGUACUGAGACACGGACCAGACUCCUACGGGAGGCAGCAGUGAGGAAUAUUGGUCAAUGGGCGAGAGCCUGAACCAGCCAAAGUAGCGUGCGGGAUGACGGCCCUACGGGUUGUAAACUGCUUUUAUGCGGGGAUAAAGUGAGGGACUUGUCCCUUUUUGCAGGUACCGCAUGAAUAAGGACCGGCUAAUUCCGUGCCAGCCGCGGC
rnacentral:rRNA from 1 species